AUUUUUGUCUUCAAAAUAGUUUCUAAAUUUUGUGAAGAUUGCAUCCCUAUGUCACUGGUUAUCCUUUUUUCUGCCUGGAAUUGGCUCUCUAGACCGUGCCAUCUGUAGAAAGACUAUUCAUAAAUCAUAACCCAUUCUAAUGAUCAACUUAUUUGGGAAGUCCUAUUAGGUUCUUCAAUCAAAACCAGUCUCACUGAACAAUGAGUCUGAUAUUUAUUUGCUUAUAGAAUUUUAUAACAAAAGAAGCAGCAUAUCCUGAUUUAUCUCAACAUGUUUUCUUUCCCAAAGGAUCGUAAACAUCUUGGGGACAGUUUCCAUAUUAUCGUUUGUGCCUGACUGUGUUGCCAUAUAUCCCUGGAACACAGUCAAUGCACAGAAAGAAAUCUGUCUCCUGACUUUAGGACAAUGGCAUGAUUGGUGCCACAGUCCAAGGAUGGUUGCUGGUGAGCAGUUACAGAUGCCCCGAGACACAGCAGGCGGGCACCAUGAGAUUUCUGACAAAGGGCAUUAAAACUGAGAAAGUUUGGGAACCUCUGAAAGCCACUCUGAGUUUCCUGAGGUAGGUGACUGUAAGUUCAAACUCAGGGCCCCAAGUGUCAAGUUAUAUUAAUAGAGAAUUAACUGUUUUUUGUUUGUUUGUUUUACUUUUUAUGUAUUUACCUUUUUUGAGACUUACACAUAAGCCCACAAGUCUUCAUGAGUGGCGACCAAAGGGCAUAUGUCACAACAGAGCAAACCUUGGUCAGUAGUAAGUGGCAGGUGGGAUGGGGACAUGUAGGUCGAUUCCUGCUCAUUUAUCUCUUUUCUGGAUCACUUUUUUUUUUUUGGUAGUCCUUUGAGAUAAAGUUCUGCAGAUCACAUAAGCACAUGCAGUAAUAGAAUGGCUGUGUCUUCUUUAAGCUCUCAGCUUCCUAGCUUUCCUUGACUCGGUUCUCAUUCUCAUCAUCAUUACUGUCCUGGUUUUUAAUUUUAUCAAUACAAUGUCAGAACUGUAAAAUUUUCUCCAGUUCCAAUUUCUAAAUAAGCCAGACUAACACGGUACCAUCAUCUACCUCAACCAACAAAAGCAUUAAUUGAUAGUUACGUAAAUUAAUCCAUAGCCAUUUGACUAUAGGUCCUCAAAAAUAUAUAGAUUAAAAAAAGGAGUUUGAAUAUUGAAAAACGAAAUAUCAUUUCCUGGAAUCUUUCCUAAAAUGUCCACACAUGAGCACACUGACAAAUUUUAGUAGUAUUAAGCUAUGUUCUUAGAUAUUUCCAUUUUAUUUUCCUGAAAAUCUUGGCAAUAUAGUCACUAUUUGGCUAUUUGGUUUAAAAUUAGUCAGUUAUCAAAAUAAUCAAGUAAAUCAAAGUUAGAGUUAUUUUGCCCAUCUGAUGUUACAAAUGAGUCAUAUUUUAGUCUUGUCAGUAUCAGAAAUGUCCAAUAGAAUCAAAGCAGGAAAGCACCUAGCCUUUGUUAUGUGUCCAGUUCGGAUACCAAUGGAAGCACUACAAGUAUGUUAUUACAUUUGAUAUUCACGUGUCACUUAUGAAAUAGGUACUGCUACUCCUGUUUUAUAGAGGACUGCACUGAUAUCAGAGUUGGUAAGUUGCAUGAUCUCUCAACUAAAAAAUGAGCAAUUUGGUUUUAUAGCUGGGUUCAUCUAUUUCAAAACAGGUUAAAAAAUUAGCACUUUGGGGGGUUAUCAAAAAGUUACACACUUUAAAUUGC
rnacentral:lncRNA from 1 species